GAGCUCUCCCGUGUUUUUAGUAAGAAGAUGGCGGUAAAAUAUAAAUGAUUUGCGUAAAAUUAGUCUGGUUGCCCUAGUGAUAAUUGAGCAAAUUAUUCAAUAUGUUUCAAGAUGAUGGACAAGAUGAGUAUAUGGUGCAGCAGAAGGUCAGCUAUCGUAUGUAUGAGCAGGAACAGAAAGUAUUGCUUAGGUCCCGCUAUCCAUUUCUCUCCCCUGUACAGAUUAGCCGUAAGGUCAAGGACAGUUGGAACAGAUUGAAGCAGGAGGCUAAACAGUUCUAUACCAAAUCUGUCCUAGUAAAAACUCCAACCAAAGAUCUGACCAAGGUGACAGCAAAAUCAAAGCAAAAGAGACAGAAAGUAAGAGGCAGGCUUGAUGUUAAUCAAAGAGAAAUCUGUGAUCAAAUUGGUUGUGAAAAUGAUUCAAUGGAAUUACCCUAUCAGAUGAGCUUGCUCACUUCACCAGUUGAUGGCAGACUACAGAAUGAUGAUUCUGCGUACAGGAGUGACUUUUACAGUUCUCCAGGGGUCUCUCCCAACAUUAGUGCUGGCAUCAGGCAUGAUACAUCCUGUCCCAAAUUGUUUGAAAGUCCUAACUCAGAAUCUUCACCUCAUCAGAAGUUUGAUAUGUUCACACAGAAGAACUACACCAAAAGCAAGCUGCCUCUCAAGGCCCCAAAUAUCAUUCAGGAUGAGCAUUCUACUCAGGGUAUCCUUAAAAGAAGCAGGACUGAUGUCACUCCUAAAACAAAGGUUAAGGGGCGAGUCAGCUUCUCCACUGACAAAAAUGAGAAAUUCCAACAGAUACAGGAUUACAACGAUAUAGACAACAGCCAAGAUGACGACUCUGAAGAUGAAUACAAUGCUAUGCUUAUCAGACGUGCAGAUGACUCCUACAACUUUGAUGACAUUGAUGACCACAAUAUGAUUGUGGAGGAAGACAGACAAGGGGAGUUAAUUAGCAGUUAUCGGAAUAAACACUUCAAUGAGGAGACAAGAACAAGAGACAGAGAUGUAUUGAAGUUUGACACAAGUUUGGACAAAAGGAAGAAAAUAGUAGGCACAAAGAAAAUAAAAGAACAACCAGAUAAGACACAACUUCGAAAGGAGAGCCUCAUGGAAACAGUAGAAGGAAAGAAUAUAUUGAAACCAACAAAUUCAGGAAAUAUUAUAAGAGAAAAGAAGAAGAGAGGAGUGGCAGGAAACUGUUCAGAAAAAGCAAGAAAGCAACUACCAGUCAAUUAUGGAGACGUAAGGGGGAAGAAAGAAAAACUGCCUGAUGGAGCAAAAGGAAGGAGACGAAAUUUUUCUGAUGAGAAAACAGAAACUGAUAAUCAGUCACAUUACAGCUUACAUGAGAACAGUCCAUCAAUUGACAAAGGUCAUAAAAAUAGCCUAUUAAAUGACAGUGGUGAUGGUAACAGCCAAUCAAAUGACAGUGCUAAUGGUAACAGCCAAUCAAAUGACAGUGCUAAUAGUUACAACCAAUCCAAUGACUGUUCUAAUGACAGCAGUCAAUCAAAUUACAUUGCUAGUGACAACAGCCAAAGUUCAGUCCAUGACAUGAGGUCUCCUAUUCUGGAAUCGAGAAAGACAAGGUCCUCAAUGAGAACCAAACAAAAUAAAAAAGAGACUGAAGUCCAAUCUCUUUCCUUCACCAAGAAAGAGUCGAGAACAGGACUGAAACCUCACUCUGUUACCAUGGUAACGGAGGACUAUGACUCGACACCUGUACAGAGGGAGGAGACAAAGUAUAUCACACCACAGAUGAAUGAGAGUGUCCACACACACAACCUUCGUGAGGCAUCAAAAAUACCCAGAAAGGCACGGCGAUCCUCAUGUCGUGAGGAGGAUUUGGGUACAAAGCCGUCUGAUAACAACUUGGACAGAUCAUCCAAACUUAAAAAACAGAAGCGUAGAUCAUCCAGAAGACUUGCUGGAGAGGAAGAGGCCUAUACAGAAGAAAAAGAAUUGCAAGAUGUUUCAGAUAGAUUCAUGACAAGUGGGAAGAAAGAGGAGAAUGUGUUGCCACCAUUUGUAGAUGCUUCUGGGGAUGCAAAGGUACCUGAAAGCCCAUCAGACCAAAGGAGAUCCUUGAAGAACAAGACAAAACAGGCCAUUCAACCUUGCAAAGGAAAAUAUUACAAUUCAGCAAAGUAUUGUGACAAUGAUGAGGACAUCACAAAACUCUCUGACCACUCCGGUUCUGACUCCUGGACAAUAAUGGAUGAAGAAUAUAAUUCAGAAGUCCUUCUCUCAGAGGAUGAGAAUGACACCCAUGCUACUGGACAAUCUGAUGCAAGUAAGGCAUUAGUACAGGCAUUGCACAGGAUGAAACAGGUAUUGGCUGAUGAGGACACUUCGGAUGAAAGGUCAUCUCCAAAGCUGUUAUCACCGGCUCUCUCUGGUAUCAGCCAGAUGUCGAGUGUGUCAUCUGAUUCCUCUGCGGCAAAUUCUCAGCCUACAUCUGGACAAGGACCCAGUACACAGGGAUCGGUGUCUGCAGACAAGGUAAUUGACUGUGACCCAGGGUCUGUGUGAUAUGUUUGGGGACAUGACUCCACCUCAAAAACGGACAUCCCGACACACCAGAAGGUUGCUGGCCAGUUCUAACAGAGAAACAGGAAGUAACUUUGCACAACUGUUCAAGACUCAAAACAUCUUCUACUGAAUUAUUUAAG
rnacentral:misc_RNA from 1 species